rnacentral:rRNA from 1 species
GACAGAGGGUGCAAACGUUGUUCGGAUUUACUGGGCGUAAAGCGCGUGUAGGCGGCUUCGUAAGUUGGAUGUGAAAUCCCACGGCUCAACCGUGGACGUGCAUCCAAAACUACGUCGCUGGAGUCUCGGAGAGGAAGGUGGAAUGCUUGGUGUAGAGGUGAAAUUCGUAGAUAUCAAGCAGAACAUCUGCGGCGAAGGCGGCCUUCUGGACGAUGACUGACGCUGAGACGCGAAAGCGUGGGGAGCAAACAGG